rnacentral:rRNA from 1 species
GGAAUAUUGCACAAUGGGCGCAAGCCUGAUGCAGCCAUGCCGCCUGUAUGAAGAAGGCCUUCGGGUUGUAAAGUACUUUCUGCGGGGAGGAAGGCGAUGUGGUUAAUAACCGCGUCGAUUGACGAUACCCGCAGAAGAAGAAACGGCUAACUCCGUGCCAGCAGCCGCGGUAAUACGGAGGGUGCAAGCGUUAAUCGGAAUUACUGGGCGUAAAGCGCACGCAGGCGGUCUGUCAAGUCGGAUGUGAAAUCCCCGGGCUUAACCUGGGAACUGCAUUCGAAACUGGCAGGCUAGAGUCUUGUAGAGGGGGGUAGAAUUCCAGGUGUAGCGGUGAAAUGCGUAGAGAUCUGGAGGAAUACCGGUGGCGAAGGCGGCCCCCUGGACAAAGACUGACGCUCAGGUGCGAAAGCGUGGGGAGCA